rnacentral:tRNA from 1 species
AUUACCUUGGCAGAGCAUGCAUUAGAUUUAGGAUCUAAAUAGAUAGUAUAGUACUAUAGGUAAUA